rnacentral:rRNA from 1 species
GAUGAACGCUGGCGGCGUGCUUAACACAUGCAAGUCGAACGGAAAGGCCCUGCUUUUGUGGGGUGCUCGAGUGGAGAACGGGUGAGUAACACGUGAGUAACCUGACAUUGACUGUGGGAUAACUUCAGGAAACUGGGGCCAAUACCGGAUAGGAGCUCAUGCUGCAUGGUGGGGGUUGGAAAGUUGCGGCGGUUUGGGAUGGGCUCGAGGGUUAUCAGCCUGUUGGUGGGGUAGUGGCUUACCAAGGCUUCGACGGGUAGCCGGCCUGGGCGGGUGACAGGCCACCUUGGGGCGAAGGUACGGCGCAGACUCCUACUGGGGGCAGCAGUGGGGAAGAUUGCACAGUGGUCGGAGGCCGGAUGCAGCAGCGCCGCGUGCUGGAUGUCGGCCUUCGGGUGGUAAUCCACUUUCUCCUGUGACGAAGAGGGAGUGACGGUAAUUGGUAAAGAAGCACCGGCUAACUACGUG